CGGGGUUCUCAGCCCGUUCUUUCACUCCCUCAUCUUUCUGGCGCUGUUUCUUCAUUUGGUAGACAACGGAUGCUUCUCAGUCUCCGCUACAGACCAGGAAGUGCUACUGUUGGAAGAAGUGUGUCACUGUGGGGGCAGGCUUUGAAGCUCUGCCCAUUGUGGAAUUGUCAGUUUUCUCCUGGAUGCAGUCAGAUCAAGAUGCAGAAUUCUCAGCUCCUCCUGUGCCAUGCCUGCCUGGAAGCUACCACUGCCUUAAUAAUAAUGGACUGAACCUCUGAACCUGUUUGUGCUUCUUUAAACCACAGUCAGAGAAGUUUCCUUUUGCAAUGGGCAGCAACUAAUGCAGAGACUCGGAACCAUGCUGAGAAGUGACAGUAUCACUCAUCCCUAAAGAGCCGCCUGCGCCCAGGCUCAGGAGCCUCACAGAAGAGGAGGAAGGAGGGACGGAAGAGCUGGAGAGUGAGGAGUGCUGUGAAUUUCUGCCUUCUGGAUAUGGCGUGACCAUUGCAUUCUCAAGUGUAAAAGCAGCUGUGGUUACCUGGGACAAGAACAGGCCGGUAGACAUUCCGGAGAGCCUGCCUCUAGCUGAGGUAGUUUAACAGCUGCUGGCGGAAGGAGGAUGGAGAGAGUAAGUCUUGUG